CUUGUAUGCUAAUGAUGGAAAGGAAAAUGAAAAAUUGUAUCAAAUACUUACCGUAAUUUUCCUGUCUGUCAGUGGAACGCACAGCCCAGAUAGGAAAUAAUAUAAGUAAAAGACAGGAAGUGAUGUAAGGAGAAGACAGGAAGUGAUCUAAGGAGAAGCCAGGAAGUGAUGUUUUCUAUAAUUAAGUUUGGAGUGCCAAGCGGGUUGGGAACAAGUAGAGAGGAGACAUUGCUGGAACUGAUAGUAGAGGAGUCAUUUUCACAGGACAUCACCAAUCACAGUGCCUCCACCGUGACCUCACUACCUGACAACAGAAGUAACCAGUGCCAAGAAGAUUCCAGUAACUAAAAGGGCUCUUGACCUGCUGACAGGAGAGGUUCCUAUAAGGUGUCAGGAUGUCACUGUCUAUUUCUCCAU